CCAUUAACUCCGGUUGAUCCUGCCGGACCCCACUGCUAUCGGGAUAGGACUAAGACAUGCUAGUC
rnacentral:rRNA from 1 species